rnacentral:rRNA from 1 species
CCUACGGGCGGCAGCAGUGAGGAAUAUUGGUCAAUGGCCGGAAGGCUGAACCAGCCAUGCCGCGUGAAGGUCAGUGCCCUAUGGGCGUUAAACUUCUUUUGUGCGGGAGCAAUAAUGGUCACGUGUGGCCAGACGAGAGUACCGUACGAAUAAGCAUCGGCUAACUCCGUGCCAGCAGCCGCGGUAAUACGGGGGAUGCAAGCGUUAUCCGGAUUUAUUGGGGUUAAAGGGUGCGUAGGCUGUGAGGGAAGUCAGCGGUGAAAUGCCCGCGCUCAACGGGGUGAAGUGCCAUUGAUACUGCCUUGCUGGAGUGCGGAUGCCGUGGGAGGAAUGUGUGGUGUAGCGGUGAAAUGCAUAGAUAUCACACAGAACACCGAUUGCGAAGGCAUCUCACGAAUCCGCGAUUGACGCUGAUGCACGAAAGCGUGGGUAUCAAACAGGAUUAGAUACCCCAGUAGUC